UUUUAUGGUGGCUGUGCGUAGGGCACCUUCGGGUGCGCCGGUUUGCCAUGUGGCCGGUCGACUAACCUGCGUACAGCCGCCACCUUC
rnacentral:antisense_RNA from 1 species